rnacentral:lncRNA from 10 species
UUUUAAAAACUGAUUAAGAAUUAGUUAUAAUUUUUAUGGGGUAUUUUUCUGAUUGUAUAUAAAAUCUUGUAUCUAUAAAAUGUAAAAUAAUGUUUCUUGUCUAUCACCUUUUUGUAUUGCCAGGAUUGAAAGCACAAACAUAUUUAUCCAUUUUUUGUCAAGCUAUCCAAAAUGAAUAUCUUAGAAUUUUAAAUGGGAACUCAUUUUGAAUGUAUUGCUCACAUUUGAGCAAAUAAACAUCUAAGAUUUUCAGUCUACUAACCAGAUACAUAGGUGAGGUAAGCCUGCUUGACAUCUGGAAACUUCACACAAAGGAAGCUAUUGCUUGGUGUCUAAGGAAAUAUAUUUCUGAAAGCACAUUCAGGCUUUUGCACUUACUGAGUGUAGAUAAAUUGACAGAUGGGGAGGGAAGUUGCAAGUACUGUCCAUCUAAGAACUGAGUAGCUAAGAAGGGAUAGGGGAUCAUCUUUCUAGCUAAAGAGCACGUUUUCUGUAACCAAAUCAAUAAAUGUACACUAAGACUGAUUAAAGCUCACUUCCUAAGUUUUUACUCUGUAUUAGGCAAAUUAUCUAUGUUAGCUCUAACCUUUGCCAUAACCAGAAAAAUUAAGCAUUAUUAUUUCUCUCAUUUUACUGAUAAACAGAGUCACAAACAGGUUAACAAGCUUGCCCAAGGUUACAUAACUGGUAGUGGUAAAACUAGAAUCUGAAGCCAUUUCUUUCUGAGUCCAAAUCUUGAAUUCCUUUGACUAUACUGUUAGCCUAAUGUUUACUGCUGUGGGCAAACAAAAUGUGCACAGCUUCACUUGACACCUAUUUAAAACUGCAUAUGUGAGUCACACAAGCAACCCUUUCUAGUAUAGUUUCACAUAAACUAUACUUCCAGUGUUUUUUCUUUCUCUAAUAUUUAUAACUUUCAAUGUUGAAAGUAAUACUUGAAAUUAAGUAUACUUUAAUUUUAUUUUUCACAUUAAAUACUUAAAAGUCUUAGGUCCUACUUGAUGUAUCAUUCUUUAAAUAUUUAACUUCUUGCUUUCUGAAUAGCCACAUUUAGAAAUAAGGGUCUCACAAACCUAAUGUUGAGAAGAAAUUAAAAAAAAUUUGACUGAAACUCUGCUGAGACCAGCUCGGUUGUGGAGACCCUAACCCAGCGGUGCUAGAGAAAUUAAAGACAUACGCACAGAAAUAUAGGGUGUGGAGUUGGAAAUCAGGCCUUUAGAGGUGAGAACCCCAAACAGAGAUUUACCCACAUAUUUAUUGACAGCAAGUCAGUGAUAAGCAUUAUUUCCAUAGAUUAUAGAUUUACUAAAACUAUUCCUUAUGGGAAACAAAGGGAUGGGCCAAAACAAAGGAAGGGGUGCUGGCUAGUUAUCUGCAGCAGGAACAUGUCCUUAAGGCACAGAUCACCCAUGCUAUUGUUUGUGGUUCAGGAAAGCCUUUAAGCAGUUUUCCGCCCUGGGUGGGCCAGGUGUUCCUUGCCCUCAUUCCGGUAAACCCACAACCUUCCAGCGUGGGCGUCAUGGCCAUCACGAACCUGUCACAGUGCUGCAGAGAUUUUGUUUGUGGCCAGUUUUGGGGCCAGUUUAUGGCCAGAUUUGGGGACUUACCCCCAGCAAAACUUCUUUUCCCUGUAGGCAUUUUAUAAAAAGGUAUAAAUAACAGAUACUUCAUUUUUGUUCUACAGAAGGAAAGAAAAUGAGAAACAAAAGUAUUCUGAAGAAAAAGGUCAUAGGAAAGUGAGGAUAAAGAUACCAAGACAAAAUAUAAUGACUUCCCCUUUGGACCUCAGUGCUUGUACAUGGAGAAGAUAAUUUUGACUUGAGUUUUCUGUUUAUUUGAAAAACCUUUUAUUGUAAUUUUCACCAGUAAGGGAGAUAUUUCUGGACUAUGAAUUGUAAAUAGACUUUGUUAAAUAAGACAGUAGACUUAAUUAAGUUAGAUCAUGUAUAAAAUAUUUAUGCUACAUAUUAAGUGUCCAGUUAAUAAACAUCAAUUUAUUGUCUCUCUCUCUCUCUCUGCCCCUUCUCUAUGCCUUUAUUCUUUACAAUUAUUUUAUUUUCUCUGAAAGUUCUGAUCUUGUACAGAAAGUACUGUUUGGGUCUUUAGUUAAAUUUGUGUUUACAUCCUGAUAAAAAAAAUUGUGUUUAUAUCCUGAUAUUAUGAAAUUAUGUUUAUAUCCUGAUAUUAUGAAAGACAAAAUAUCUAAACUGUGUAAGCCUCAGUUUUUUCAUCUUAAAAAAAUGAAUUCAUAGUACUUUUAUGAGGCUUUCAUAUUGUGCUGUACAUAGGAAAAAUACUUUUUAAAUGUCUGCGACUUGAUUACAAUUAUUCAAUGGCACAUUCGUCAAUAAGAAAAUAAACUUCUAAACAAUUAAUUUACAUUAAAUCAUUUAUUUUGGUUUCAAUCAAGGAAAGAUUUCUUGCAACCUCAUGAAAGACCUUGACCAGCCAUGACUACCCAUCUAACAUGCUGUCUAAUUCCUGACCUAUGGACACUGUGAGAUAAUAAAUGUUUGUUGCUUUAAAUCACUAAAUUUUGGAGUAAUUUGUUGCAUAGCAAUAGAUAAUGAAUAAAAAUCUCUUGAGGGAUAUGCCUAACAUUUCAAAUAUAAUUGCCUACAAUUUGUGGAUGUCUUUAACAUUAUCUGUAAAAGAAAAAAAUUCCUAAGCAAUUAAUGAAGUGUUGUAGGUAUGGGUAAUGGGAAGAGAAUUUGAGAAUAUAAACAAACUGUCUUCAAGGAUAUGGAUUAAUCACUCUCUGCUAUUGUUUGUGUGUUUUAUUUCAAUAGGAUUUCAAAGAGAGGCUGUUUGCUUGACUGAAGGAAGUGCCUUUUGACAGAAGAUGCAAUUUAUGUUAUAUGAAUGAUAUUUCUGAUGGCCAAAAGGACCUGUGAUAGCCUGAGAGUCAAAGACAAGCAGGAACGCAUCUGUAGUCAAACAAGAUAUGGAAUGAAUCCUGGCUUGGAUUGGUUCUUGUCAACAAGGAGGAGCAGGUUAGCAAUCAGAUUCUCGGUAUUCAUUGUUCAGGUGGUGCUGUAUGUCCCCUCCAAAAGCAUGUUGAAAUUUAAUUGCCAAUAUAAUUGUAUUGUGAGGUAGGACCUUUAAGAGGGGUUUGGCUCAUUGAAGCUCCACCCUCAUGAAUAGAUUAAUGUCAUUAUCGUGGGAGUGGGAUUGUUAUCAUGGGAAUGGGCUCCUGAUAAAAGAGUGGUUUCUGCCUGAUCUCCUCUUUCCCUCUCUCGCAUGCUCACUUGCCCUUCCACCAUAUUAUGAUGCAGCAGGAGGGCCCUCACCAGAUGCUGAUAACAUUUUUUUAACUUCUCAGCCCUCAAAACUGUGAAGAAUAAUUUCUUUCUUUUAUACAUCACCUAGUCUGUGCUAUUCUGUUAUAGCAGAAGACAAUAAACUAAGACAGACAUCGGGAAAACAACACGGGCUUGGGGACAUCAUUUAUAAGAAAGUGAUAAUCACUCAGAGAAAAAAAUGAUUAGUCAUAUUUUCAGCUAUAGUGUGGCCUUUUGUAUAAGCACUGUAUACAAAAAUGCUAUAUCCCAUUGGAAGCAUUUUUUUUUUUUUUUGAGAAGGAGUCUCACUCUGUAACUCAGGCUAGAGUGCAGUGGCACGAUCUCGGCUCACUGCAACCUCCUCCUCCUGGGGUCAAGCGAUUCUCCUGCCUCAGCCUCCCGAGUAGCUGGGACUACAGGUGUGCACCACCGGGCCCAGGUAAUUUUUUUGUAUUUUUGGUAGAGACAGGAUUUUACCAUGUUGGCCAGGCUGGUCUCGAACUCCUGACCUUUUCACUUUCUCAAAAAGAAUAUUGUGACACAACCAUGAAGUGAAGAGUUCUAAGAUCCAACAUAGUCUCACUGAGUUGAUGCAUGUUUUUACCUGACUUCUGAUCAUUUUAUAAACAAUUAAAAUAGUACAGCGGGACAGGACCUUAGAAAUUGUCAUUAUAUGUAUGGAGAGCCUGGAGCACAUUCCCAGGGUCUGCCAAGCAGUUUGUGCCAAAAGAAGGAUUAGGACCCAGAUCUCUGACAAUUAGACAAGGAUCCUUCACAGGACAUCUAUUUUCAUCCUGGUACACACACACACACCUGUACCAAUUUCAGGGGUAAAGUAUUUUGCAAGUGAUUUACUACUAAUAAGAGUGAAAAUACUGGAGUGAUUCUCUAUUACUGUUUUCUCACUGUAAAAAUUUCAAGCAUACAAUCAUAAUAAAGUUAUCUCUUUACUUCAAUCUCCUUUCUCAUCUCCAUAUGGAUAAAUAUGUGUAUCUGACUAUUAUAUUAAAGUAAUGAUAUAGUAGUACAUAUUGUUUUGCUGUUGGCUUUUCCCAAUUAAUAACACACUUUGGAUACUGUUCUGUGUCAGUGUCAAUAAAAUCUGUAAACAUAGAUAACAUUAUUUUAUUAUUUUACAAGGUGAAGAUGUCCUUAAUGAUAUUCAAUAUACUUUUCUACAUUUACAGACUAUGUACAUUUUGUAGAUAGAACUUUUUUAUUAAAAUUAACGUUAUUAACCAUUUAUUUAAA